rnacentral:rRNA from 1 species
GAUGAACGCUGGCGGCGUGUUUAACACAUGCAAGUCGAACGAAGCACCUUAUUCUGAUUUCUUCGGAAUGAAAAAUUUGGUGACUGAGUGGCGGACGGAUGAGUAACGCGUGGGUAACCUGCCUCAUACAGGGGGAUAACAGUUAGAAAUGACUGCUAAUACCGCAUAAGACCACAGCACCGCAUGGUGCAGGGGUAAAAACUCCGGUGGUAUGAGAUGGACCCGCGUCUGAUUAGGUAGUUGGUGGGGUAACGGCCUACCAAGCCGACGAUCAGUAGCCGACCUGAGAGGGUGACCGGCCACAUUGGGACUGAGACACGGCCCAAACUCCUACGGGAGGCAGCAGUGGGGAAUAUUGCACAAUGGGGGAAACCCUGAUGCAGCGACGCCGCGUGAGCGAUGAAGUAUUUCGGUAUGUAAAGCUCUAUCAGCAGGGAAGAAAAUGACGGUACCUGACUAAGAAGCACCGGCUAAAUACGUGCCAGCAGCCGCCGUAA